rnacentral:misc_RNA from 1 species
UUAAGUUCAGCGGGUAUUCCUACCUGAUUCGAGGUCAACCUUUGUAAAAAUUGGUGGUUUAACGGCUGAUAGAUCACCAGACGUCCUAGGCGAGAAGGAAACUACUGCGCCCGGAGUGCUGGCGAGCACCGCCACUGUUUUUCGGGGCCUACGUAUGCCGUAGGUGCCCCAACGCCAGGCAGCCGAGGGCCUGAGGGUUG